ensembl:lncRNA
AGAUUUAUGAUCAGUUAUUUUUAAGUAUCUUGUAAUCUGUACAAAGUAAUUAUCCAUAAACGAAUAUAGGUUGGCUUGAUUUAAAAAUUCUGAGGAAAUACUAGCCGUCUUUAAUAAUUUCUAUGAAGUGUAUUAGAUAAAAGAUGUGACAACAAAAGUUAUUCUAAUUUUGUAGGAAUUUUAACUUGAAAAUUUUUGGAUUGUUACAGAGGAAAGUGAACAAGUAAAAAUCAUUCUGACAAAUGACAAUUUGAAGCUGAAUGCUGUUGUUAGCUUGGUAUUCGCUGCACUGACUCUGUGCCUCCUCUGCAGUAGUUACAGUGAGGUACAGAAACUUGCAUCUACUUUAUAAUGAACACAGACAUAUAUACCAAAGUGAGUUCCUGCCAACAGCUGAAUUACAUGUCACUGUUCACCUGAACACUUGUUAACUAAAGCUCUCUCAGAAAAAGAAACACAACAAAAUACUACCUUUUUUAAAAAGAUGGCAAAAUUAAGUUUAGAAAGGUUUAGUAAUGCUUUCUUCUAAAACAAGGCAUUUCAGAAUUCCAUUAUCAGAAAACUGAAGUGUUGGUAGAACUUAUACAAAGAUUAUAUACAAAGAAUUAUACAAAGAUUAACAUUUGUAUUUUGUUCAAAGAACAAGAUAAGAUAGCAGGACUUAUUCUCUGAUAUCUACAACUUAUAAGUAAAAUCUUUAUUUAAAAUUUUGUGUUACAUUAUAUAUUACGUAUAAUUUGUAUUUUGUAGCUGCAUGGCUCAGGAGUGGUAUCCAUUUAGUUAUGUUGCUGAAAGUAUAAUUUUUUAAUGCAUCAAGAAUUAAGCUUCUAGAAAGUUCUGCAUACCUAAUUGCUUCUGGGGUCCAUAGUAUGACAAGUGUAACAAUUUUGAAGUGGUUUACACUUGAAUUGCAGACGUCACAGAAAAAGACUGCUUUCAGUCCCUGUACAACACUUAAUGAAGCUAUAAGAUGAAUGAGCCACUCAGCCUCCAUCCACUUGUGGGGCAGUUUAAAUAAAAAAGUCUGGCACUGCUUUCUACUCCUAUUUUACACUGAUAGAAAAAAGACUAGCAGAUGAGGAUCUACUUCUGAGUGACUUGUGAGUUAUCACUUAAUUUGUCUCCUUACUAUUAUAGUAAUCAUGCCACUUGUUAGGAGGAGAACACCUAUUUGACUGUUCAGAUUACACAUGAACUUAAACUGAGUUUAAUGAGUUAUUUAUGGAAAUCUCCAAGAAAUAGGUUUGGACUCACAAUGCAUUUAUAGACAAAAAGACCUGCUCUUUUUCUGUUGCUUGCUUGAUCAUUGGGACUUUAAAAAAUGAUGCAUGUCUUUUUUAAUUAAUUGGGUGAUGUUUUUCUAAAAUUAAAAUUUUCUUCUUCCUAUAGCCCUGCCAUAGGACAGGCUGAGGCUGAGUCUCAGUGUUGCCCUGUUCAGUCUGAGCAGCAGAAUUUCAGCAUUUGCUACUUACUGGUAGAGAAGAAAAACCCCACAGCCCUGCCAGUACAGUUUAUAAGAAUGGCGUAGAUACAGUGGAAAUGGUUUUCCUUAAAACCAUCUCUUUAAGAGCUGCCUUUCUGGUGGUGGCAUCCGCUCUGCAGGCAGAGACCAGUCAUUGCUGAGUUUCAGGACAACCAGGGCUGUAUAGAGGAGUCUCCCCAAAGUGAAGGAAUGUGUCCUGCGUUUGUUGGAAUCAGUUGAGGUUCCCAGUGUGUGUCCUGGCUCACAACCACCGCUCCUUCAGGAUCUGACACCUUGAACUUUUGUGCUCAUAUACUUAAAACACAUGCAUACAAUUAAGAAAUACAUAUGUUUUAAAGAUCAAAGAUUACCUUUUUUGCCCCAGUGCUCAUUUCUCACUGCUAGGUUAAGGAAAUAAUAGAUUUAGUACUCUCUUCUCGAGUACUUGAACUGUAUAAAUCAUUCCAACCCUGCAUGGAAAACUUGCAUUACAAAUGCAGAUUUUUAGCAUUUGUUUACCUGGGAAGAUUAACUUACAAAAAUAUUUUACUGUCUUGUUUAGUGACGAGUUUGUAACAUAAGGAUUUUUCCCUGUAGUUUUUAAGCUAGAUUUUUAGAUAAUGCAGGCAUAUUUGUAUAUACAUUGUAUUUCUUCUAUGAUUUUUGUGAAUAAAUCUACCUUUUUCCUCCUUAGUAUAGACAAUAUUUGUUUUCUAAAAUCUGAAAUGUGUAAUCUGAGUGUGUGUGGUAAUGUAUUCUAGGUGAGCUCUCAACAAAGUUUUGAGCCUAAAUUUGUGUCUUUAGAUUAUAGUGAAAUAAAUUUCUAAGGAACUCUGUCCUUUCCUAGCAUGGAUAAACAGACAGUGACAGUUGGUAAGUAUGUAACUUUAAAUGCAUGUAGUAGUGGUAAAGUUGAGCUACCAAACUAUUCCAAGACAGUUAGAAGUGAGUCCUUCUAGGACUUUAUAUGUAUAUCUGACAUUUUCUCCAAAUCUAUGUACUCAUGAUUAAACUGAAAUGCACCUUACUUGUCUGAUUUGUUUUUUGUUGUUCAUUUUGUUUUUAGAAGAAUUUUGUAUGGUAGUUUAAAAAUCUAAUUUUAUAUUUAAAACUUUCCUUGGUGUAUCAGUACGUGGCUCUUCUGACAACCCAAUAUUGAUCCGAAGUUUACUUCAAACACUUUGGUUUCCAUUUAAAACUAAGCAAAAUAUAGUGGCAAAAGAGAGGACUACUCUAAUUUUAGUCUAUAAUAGGAAAUCAGUGCAGAAUUACGCUUUAUUUUUAUUUAUGUGUCUGUGGUGCACCCACAUGCAGUUUUCUCCUGAGGCCAGAAGAUUGUCUGAUUGUUAGAGUGGAGUAGAGCUUCAGACACUGGUAACCCACCCCUGAGCAGUACCCAUUCAUCCUUGGCCAGUUCGGGUCAGUGUUGGAAUUUGGUGGUGGGAAGAAGGCUUUCUUAUUUUUUAUGAUUGCGGCCCCCCAAUUGUGAGAAUUAUUUCAGGGGGUAGAUCGGAGGACAACUUCUUUACAGUUUGUGUUCGUAUGUGGUUUCUAGGGAGACAUCUCAACCACCCUCUGGUGUUCUGUUGGUAACAGAAGUAUGACAGGUAAAAUGAAAAGCAUUUUAAUUUUAUUUCUGAGACAUAAGUCAUUUAUUUACAGCAUUGUUUUCUGAAAAGUUAAAGAAGUGGGUAUGCAUGUCUUUAAUUUAGUCUCCAGGUUUACUCCUAACAAGUGUCAGUUGGAUUUGGAGGAAAUGAAGAGCCAAAUCCUGUGGGGAUGUGAUUGUAUGGAGGGUCUGAGUAUAGCAGCAGGAGGAAGAAUAAACUUGCAGCCUGUGUGCUAUUAAAUGGUACAGGAGCAGAGAUCGUGACGAAUGUUACUUUAUAACUAUGUCUGCUAAAGAUAAUUAUAUGCUAGCCUUUAAUUCAUUAACAUUGGAACCUUGUGAUACAUGAAUUUUGGUCGAGUUUAUUUAAAAAUAAAAAUUUCCCACACAAAUAAUAGUGUAUGUGAUACUUUGAUGUGUCUGUCUCCUGGCUCAGGAACAUUAAAGUGUGUUCUUCCCCAAUUCAAAUACUUUGCUGGCCUGGAACUCCCAGAAAUCGUUCUGCCUUUUGUCUCUCCAAUGGUGCGAUUAAAGGUGUGCACCACUGAACUGGGCAUAAAUUUGGUUCUUUUCAUCCUCUCUAGUUCCUG